CAAUCAGCAUCAUUGGGCGUCGCAUUUCAUCCGCCAUCCCCGGAAUAUCCAUCAUGUUCUCUGGCGGCUGUGGCUCCACAAUCUGAUUUAUUAUAAAACUAUUUGAAAGCAGUGUAUUUAGAUAUGUGGUCAGUGUUCUAUGAUAUUUUGUAACCUUUUCUUCCAAAAACAUAGCUGUCCGUUUGCCCUCAUAAUAAUAAUUGUCCACCGGGAAAUGCAGUAUUUCUCCUUUUUCGUUAUAAUACCAGUCUUGUGUUCCAUGAGCAGUAAAAACAGGAUGUUCAACUGUAAAAACUAAAUUGCC
rnacentral:snRNA from 1 species